UGAUAUGUUCAUGCCUCAACACCAUGGAUCUCCAGGUGGGUCAAGAUUAUAGAGAAACACCAACCUGGAGGACUCCAUGCUGUUGAGCUGUUCACAAGC
ensembl:miRNA aca-mir-490 aca-mir-490